rnacentral:misc_RNA from 1 species
AAGUCGUAACAAGGUUUCCGUAGGUGAACCUGCGGAAGGAUCAUUAUUGAAAUAAACCUGAUGAGUUGCUGCUGGUUUCUCUUUGGAAACAAUGUGCACACUUGUCAUCUUUAUAUCUCCACCUGUGCACCUUUUGUAGACCUGGAUAUUUUUCUCAGUGCUUAGCCACUCAGGUUUGAGGAUUGACUUUAUGUCUCUUCCUUACAUUUCCAGGCCUAUGUUUCUUCAUAUACCCAAUGUAUGUCUUAGAAUGUAAUCAAUGGGCCUUUGUGCCUAUAAACCUAUACAACUUUCAGCAACGGAUCUCUUGGCUCUC